UAUACAUGCAGUCGAACGCUUCUUUUUCCACCGGAGCUUGCUCCACCGGAAAAAGAGGAGUGGCGAACGGGUGAGUAACACGUGGGUAACCUGCCCAUCAGAAGGGGAUAACACUUGGAAACAGGUGCUAAUACCGUAUAACAAUCGAAACCGCAUGGUUUUGAUUUGAAAGGCGCUUUCGGGUGUCGCUGAUGGAUGGACCCGCGGUGCAUUAGCUAGUUGGUGAGGUAACGGCUCACCAAGGCCACGAUGCAUAGCCGACCUGAGAGGGUGAUCGGCCACAUUGGGACUGAGACACGGCCCAAACUCCUACGGGAGGCAGCAGUAGGGAAUCUUCGGCAAUGGACGAAAGUCUGACCGAGCAACGCCGCGUGAGUGAAGAAGGUUUUCGGAUCGUAAAACUCUGUUGUUAGAGAAGAACAAGGAUGAGAGUAACUGUUCAUCCCUUGACGGUAUCUAACCAGAAAGCCACGGCUAACUACGUGCCAGCAGCCGCGGUAAUACGUAGGUGGCAAGCGUUGUCCGGAUUUAUUGGGCGUAAAGCGAGCGCGCGUUUCUAGUCUGAUGUGAAAGCCCCCGGCUCACCAGGAGGGUCAUCGAACCUGGAGACUGAGUGCAGAGAGAGAGUGAAUUUCCCAUGGUGUAGCGGUGAAUGGCGUAAGAUAUAUGAAGGACCACCAGGUGGCGAGGCGCUUCUUUGUUCGGUAACUGACGUGAGGCUGAAAGCGUGGGGAGCAACCAGGUUAGAUACCUUGUUGUUCCACGCCGGUAAACAUGAGUGCUAGGGUGGAAGGGUUUCGGCCUUUCAUUGCGGCAGCUAACGCAUUAACCAUUCGGCCGGGGGAGUACGACGCCAGGGUGGAAAUUCAAAGGAAUGACGGGGGGCCCGCACAAGGGUUGGAGCAUGUGGUUUAAUUGGAAGCAACCCGAGGAACCUACCCAGUUCUGGACUUCCUUGGACCAUUCAAAGGAAGGAGUUUCCCUUUGGGGGCCAAAUUGCCGGUUGGGCCAUGGUGUUGUUCAGUUGGGUUCUUAGGAUGUGGGUUUAAUUCCCCCACCGACCCCAACCCUUAUUUUUGGUGCCCUUCAUCCAUUGGGCCAUUCAACCAGGACGGCCGGUGCCAAACCGGGGGAAGGGGGGGAGGCCUUCAAUUCUCCUUCCCCUUUAUGCCUUGGGUUCCCCCCUUGUUCCAAUGGAAGGUCCACCGAGUUGGGAGGUCGGGGGGUUAAGUUAUUUUUUUAAGGUUUUUUCCAUUUGGAAUUCCGGGUUGCACUUGCCUGCCAGGAAGCGGGAUUCGUUGUUAUUCGGGGUUCACCACGCCCCGUGGAUUCCUUUCCCGGCCCUGGUCCCCCCCCCCCUCCCCACCACGGGAGUUGGUACCACCCGAGUUCGUGGAGGUACCCUUUGGAGCCAGC
rnacentral:rRNA from 1 species